rnacentral:rRNA from 1 species
UACGUAGGGUGCGAGCGUUGUCCGGAAUUACUGGGCGUAAAGAGCUCGUAGGUGGUUUGUCGCGUUGUUCGUGAAACUCACAGCUCAACUGUGGGCGUGCGGGCGAUACGGGCAGACUAGAGUACUGCAGGGGAGACUGGAAUUCCUGGUGUAGCGGUGGAAUGCGCAGAUAUCAGGAGGAACACCGGUGGCGAAGGCGGGUCUCUGGGCAGUAACUGACGCUGGAGGAGCGAAAGCCGUGGGGAGCGAACAGG